rnacentral:misc_RNA from 1 species
AGCAGCCGCGGUAAUUCCAGCUCCAAUAGCGUAUAUUAAAGUUGUUGCAGUUAAAAAGCUCGUAGUUGAAUUUCGGGACCAAUAUGUCGGUCGUACUUUGUACGUACUAGCAUUAUUGGUUUCUCCCUUCUGAAGAACCACGAUGUCAUUAAUUUGGUGUCGUGGGGAAUCAGGACUGUUACUUUGAAAAAAUUAGAGUGUUUAAAGCAGGCUCGCGCUUGAAUACAUUAGCAUGGAAUAAUGAAAUAGGACGUUUGAUUCUAUUUUGUUGGUUUCUAGGAUCGACGUAAUGAUUAAUAGGGAUAGUUGGGGGCAUUAGUAUUCAAUUGUCAGAGGUGAAAUUCUUGGAUUUAUUGAAGACUAACUACUGCGAAAGCAUUUGCCAAGGAUGUUUUCAUUAAUCAAGAACGAAAGUUAGGGGAUCGAAGACGAUCAGAUACCGUCGUAGUCUUAACCAUAAACUAUGCCGACUAGGGAUCGGAUGAUGUUAAUUUUUA